rnacentral:rRNA from 1 species
UACGUAGGGUGCAAGCGUUGUCCGGAAUUAUUGGGCGUAAAGAGCUCGUAGGCGGUUUGUCACGUCGGUUGUGAAAAUCCGAGGCUCAACCUCGGACCUGCAAUCGAUACGGGCAGGCUAGAGUUCGGUAGGGGAGACUGGAAUUCCUGGUGUAGCGGUGAAAUGCGCAGAUAUCAGGAGGAACACCGGCGGCGAAGGCGGGUCUCUGGGCCGAUACUGACGCUGAGGAGCGAAAGCGUGGGGAGCGAACAGG